rnacentral:rRNA from 1 species
CCUACGGGUGGCAGCAGUGAGGAAUAUUGGUCAAUGGGCGCGAGCCUGAACCAGCCAAGUCGCGUGAAGGAUGACUGCCCUACGGGUUGUAAACUUCUUUUAUAAAGGAAUAAAGUGAGGCACGUGUGCCGUUUUGUAUGUACUUGAUGAAUAAGGAUCGGCUAACUCCGUGCCAGCAGCCGCGGUAAUACGGAGGAUCCGAGCGUUAUCCGGAUUUAUUGGGUUUAAUGGGUGCGUAGGUGGGUUGUUAAGUCAGUUGUGAAAGUUUGCGGCUCAACCGUAAAAUUGCAAUUGAUACUGGCAGUCUUGAGUACAGGUGAGGUAGGCGGAAUGCGUGGUAUAGCGGUGAAAUGCUUAGAUAUCACGAAGAACUCCGAUUGCGAAGGCAGCUUACUAAACUGCCACUGACAUUGAUGCUCGAAAGUGUGGGUAUCAAACAGGAUUAGAUACCCGAGUAGUC